rnacentral:rRNA from 1 species
UUGACCUCAAAUCGGGUGAGACUACCCGCUGAACUUAAGCAUAUCAAUAAGCGGAGGAAAAGAAACUAACAAGGAUUCCCCUAGUAACUGCGAGUGAAGCGGGAAAAGCUCAAAUUUAAAAUCUGGCGGUCUUUGGCCGUCCGAGUUGUAAUUUAGAGAAGCGUCUUCCGCGCUGGACCGUGUACAAG